rnacentral:rRNA from 1 species
AGCAGCCGCGGUAAUUCCAGCUCCAAUAGCGUAUAUUAAAGUUGUUGCAGUUAAAAAGCUCGUAGUUGAAUUUCGGGAUCAAUACGUCGGUCGUGCUUCGGUACGUACUGGCGUAACUGAUUUCUCCCUUCUGACGAACCAUGAUGUCAUUAACUUGGUGUCAUGGGAAAUCAGGACUGUUACUUUGAAAAAAUUAGAGUGUUUAAAGCAGGCUCACGCUUGAAUACAUUAGCAUGGAAUAAUGAAAUAGGACGUUCGAUCCUAUUUUGUUGGUUUUUAGGAUCAACGUAAUGAUUAAUAGGGAUAGUUGGGGGCAUUAGUAUUCAAUUGUCAGAGGUGAAAUUCUUGGAUUUAUUGAAGACUAACUACUGCGAAAGCAUUUGCCAAGGAUGUUUUCAUUAAUCAAGAACGAAAGUUAGGGGAUCGAAGACGAUCAGAUACCGUCGCAGUCUUAACCAUAAACUAUGUCGACUAGGGAUCGGAUGAUGUUAAUUUUUUGAAUGACUCAUUCGGCGCCUUA